rnacentral:lncRNA from 1 species
GACAAUGAAGAGAGAGUGAAAAAGAGCAAAGAGAGAAUAAAUUAGUAAUUAGAAAUUUAUAAAAGGUUAAAAGAAACAGUUUGAAAUCGUGAACCAAAUGAACGUGGAAUGAAAAGUUUUCUUUUGUUUGUUAAUUGUCUGUUUUUUUUUUUUUUUUUUUUUUUUUUUAACUUUGCUAUGUGUCAAAAUUUUGUUGGUCUUGUGCUUUAGUAUAUAAAUGUAAACCGUAAUUAAAAGUACGCUAGGUUAAAAGGCCUUCAACCAUCCGGUUCUAAUAAAAUUUCGGAAACCAGUGGCAAGUGAACGCUUCCAAUUGCGUUAUCAACAAAACCAAUUUUAAACAGACUCAGUUUAAUAAUCAAACAUACUUGACAAAAAAAAGAUUCGGAUAGCAGAUCUCGGCCGUAGCCCAUAUUAGGCCCAUACAAAACCAUUUAUUUAAGCUGCUAUAGCCCAUUAUCAGGCCCAUACCGAAAUAGUUCCAUUCUUCUGCUCGUUGCAAUCAGCAAGAAACUAAAGGCUAACCGGUUC